UACGUAGGGUGCAAGCGUUGUCCGGAAUUAUUGGGCGUAAAGGGCUCGUAGGCGGUCCAUCACGUCGGGGAGUGAAAAGCUGGGGCUUAACCCCAGUCCUGCUUCCGAUACGGGUGGACUAGAGGUAGGCAGGGGAGAACGGAAUUCCUGGUGUAGCGGUGAAAUGCGCAGAUAUCAGGAGGAACACCGGUGGCGAAGGCGGUUCUCUGGGCCUUACCUGACGCUGAGGAGCGAAAGUGUGGGGAGCGAACAGG
rnacentral:rRNA from 1 species